GUGAAAACCCUAGAAUACAAUGACUUUCUCAACAAGCAACAGUACAUUAUAUAUACUCCAAAAUUGUGGGUCGACCCAUCGGGUCGUGGUCGAUCCGGUCGAACCAUACCGCGGGGGCUACACCCCUGCACCCCCAUAUCGGCUCAACCCCUCUGCUUCCAUCACAAAUCUUAAAAAAAUUCCCAUUUAGGUCGCCACCAAAAUAUGUCGGAUCGGGUCAAUCUUCAAAACGGGUCAAGAAUUCGAGACAAACUUAACAUGUAUGAGUUUAAAAACGUGCUUGGGAAGGUGAAGCUUUUUCUUGGUUGAAUAUGAUGUAUUGCUUGAAUGCAAAAUUGUCUGCUGGGGUUUCAGUUCUUGAAGUAAUAACAGAACAUUUUGGGAAAGACAGUGCAAAAUUACCUUGAAUUUACGGUUGGUUUGACAAGAGAAGAUAUCUGCCCUGUUAUGCAUGUAGUUAGGAAAUGUACUGUGUAUAUGGAGGUUAAGGAAUUGUAUUGUGUAUUCAAAGUAUAUUUGGCAAGUAAUGGUACUAUGUCUCUGUAUGUCCAGUGUAUACCGUAUGCAGUACUUAACCAAUCUUGGCAUCCUUAACCUUCUCUAUGAAUCAUAGUUGUCAACUAACAAACCUAGUGCCUGAUUUCUAACAAUUAAGUCCAAGAUUAAUGAGUAUAAUCAAGCUGACCCCAUUAAGUUGGGAUAAGGCUUUAUUGUUGUUAUUAACGAGGAUAGCAUAUUAGAGCAGCCAAAUGUACUAGAGCUUUGUUGAGGUGGUUAGAGAAACAGAGGAGUUAUAGUUUUCAGAUUAGAUCAGCCAAAAGAACUAGGGCUAGGCCAAAGAUUACCUGGAAGAAGUGGUGAAAAAAGUUAUGGAUUCUUAGGUUUAUUGAUGAUUUUUUUUUUUUUUUUUUUUUAAUUUUUUAAUUUUAAAAUCCAAUAUAAUGAUAAACUAGACUUUAAACAGCAUAAAAUGACAAAGCAGAAUUCAUGUAGCCGGACCCGUUUUGUUAGGAGUGGGCUUAGUUGAAUUGAGUCGAGUUGCACCAAAUGAAGAUGAAUAAAAUAAACUGAGAUCAUAAAUGGAUUCCGCAAGUACAUCAAGGAUGAGUUCCCAAAUAGGUGUAAUGAAGUAGAAGAUUAAAUUCUAGGAGAUUGCUUGAAGGAGGCAAGAGCAGAUAGUUGACCAAAUCCUCUGUCUAUUACAUGUCCGACUGAAGUCAUUUUUGCGGAAUUUCUGGUAAAAAUCUCUGUGUUGCUGAUGGAAACAAAUCAGCUGGCUGGGUAUUCUACAGACCCUGUUUUACUGUAAUACAGAAUUGAUUUCCUGUGAGGAUUGGGAACCUGAUCAUUGCGAAUAGCUUCAGGUGAUCUUGGUUUUCGGAAACAAUUAAGGAACGACGAAGAUGGUAUAUUGCCACAUAUGCAGAAAAGAGAUUACUGUUGCCAACUUAGACUCUAAGUUGAUGCAAAAGCUAGAGGAACAGAAAUACCUCAAGAGUAAAGCAUGGGAAACUUUAUUUGCUAUGUAAAUAAAAAUUACCCUCUUAUUAAUACCACUUCUUUUACUUCACAUAUUUUUAUUUUUCUUUUCAUGGUGGGGUGUUCUUAAUAAACCCUGAACUUCUUGAACUCCACCCUAAUCCUUCCUGGAAUGAUGCUUCUCUUUUCAAUUCUGUUGAUUCCAUUUUGUCAUCUUUGAGCAAAUAGACUAGCAGUUGCUUCCCCCAAAGACAAAACUGUUGAUUUGAAAUAGAAAAGGGACAAAUAUACACAUGAAUUCAAUCUGGCAUUGUUACCAUGGACUGAGUUUGGGUUCAGGAGCUGAUCUAGGAGGGAAGGAAUGUUAAUGAUGCUAGAUUGGCUUGCCUUGCUGAUGAUUUAGGUAAUGGUUGUACUUAUCUUGAAUAGUUGAGAUUCUUAUUGAGCAUUAUGAAUGGCACAGUGGUGUAUUAUCCUCAAUUUUUCUUGCAGUCUCCUUCAGAAUUGAUUAUUUCAGAAAAAGGCAAUAUCUGGUGAUGACCAUCUUGUUUGUGUUGUGAAUGUGUAUCUGGUGCUGCUCCUACGGACGAAUCGAAUGUCGAAGGUCUACCUCUGAAGACUCUGUAGCUUUGAGAAAGCAACUCUGGGUAGGAAUAUGGAUGUUUGGAUGCUGAAGACUUGUGGUUGCCUUUUAAGAGUAGAAAUUGACCAAAACAUUGAGUUUCA